rnacentral:lncRNA from 1 species
GAGACACAUACCAGAUAUGCUCCGGCUCCCCCGGCUCCCCCAGCUGCCGGGACGUAUCACAUUCCUCGCUCCUCGACUGACACACUCGGCGGCUCCAAGAAAACCUACGGGGUAAGUGUCUCAGGACGGCGCUGGGCAGCAGCCGGUCUCCCUGAUGACCACUCGGGCCCGGGGCUCCUGAGCUCUCUCAUGUGUCUGGGAUUCCCCCACUUUUACAAAGGAAAUGUUUCGGGCCAGAGAGGGCCAGGGACUCGCCUAAGGUCAGCCACCGCCGAUGGGCGUAAUAGUACUAAACACUAAUAUUUAUGGGGCUCUCAGUUUGUGCCAGGCUCUCUAUAUGCAUCACGACACUGCAUCCUCAGGACCAACUACCUUCGUGGCAGAUCGGAGGAGAAGACACCCAGAGAGGCUAAGCAACUCACCCUCGGUCGCACAGCUAUGGGAUGCCACGUUAAGACGGGAAAUGGGGACGCCAGCUUGCAGGAUGUGGGCAGAGGCCUUUGGGAACCACUCCUUGCCCACCUGGCUGUCAGAACUGCUGUCGAGUUAAUAAAACUGAUGAGGGAAGGAGACAAGGAGGGGAACAAGGAGGAUUACAGGACUGCCCCCCAGAAUGAAGAAGAGACAUGCUCCAUGGAGGAUAGCACUCACCUGGGACAAUCCAGGCUGCUGGGUAGGACCUCAUCACGACUCCCUCCAGGCUGCUGAGGCUGAGAAAGGACCAGGGAUUCAGAGUGACUCAGAUACCAGGCGCUGCCAGACCUCACUGAAAACUCUCCUGCUCAUCAAACAAUGGCACUUGUUUUAAUCAACUCUGGGGCACCUGGGUGGCUCAGUGGUUGAGCAUCUGCCUUCAGCUCACAGCGUGAUCCCGGGGUCUAGGGAUCGAGUUUUGCAUCAGGCUCCUCACGGGGAGCCUGCUUCUCUCCCUCUGCCUAUGUCUCUGCCUCUCUGUGUGUCUCUCAUGAAUAAAUAAAUAAAGUCUUAAAAAAAAAAAAUCA